rnacentral:rRNA from 1 species
GACGUAGGGGACGAGCGUUGUCCGGAUUUAUUGGGCGUAAAGCGCGCGCAGGCGGCCACGUAAGUCGGAUGUGAAAUCCCGGGGCUCAACCCCGGAACUGCCUUUGAUACUGGUAGUCUCGAGUCCGGAAGAGGUGAGUGGAAUUCCGAGUGUAGAGGUGAAAUUCGUAGAUAUUCGGAGGAACACCAGUGGCGAAGGCGGCUCACUGGUCCGGUACUGACGCUGAGGUGCGAAAGCGUGGGGAGCAAACAGG